rnacentral:rRNA from 2 species
AAAUUGAAGAGUUUGAUCAUGGCUCAGAUUGAACGCUGGCGGCAGGCCUAACACAUGCAAGUCGAACGGUAACAGGAAGCAGCUUGCUGCUUUGCUGACGAGUGGCGGACGGGUGAGUAAUGUCUGGGAAACUGCCUGAUGGAGGGGGAUAACUACUGGAAACGGUGGCUAAUACCGCAUAACGUCGCAAGACCAAAGAGGGGGACCUUCGGGCCUCUUGCCAUCAGAUGUGCCCAGAUGGGAUUAGCUUGUUGGUGAGGUAACGGCUCACCAAGGCGACGAUCCCUAGCUGGUCUGAGAGGAUGACCAGCCACACUGGAACUGAGACACGGUCCAGACUCCUACGGGAGGCAGCAGUGGGGAAUAUUGCACAAUGGGCGCAAGCCUGAUGCAGCCAUGCCGCGUGUAUGAAGAAGGCCUUCGGGUUGUAAAGUACUUUCAGCGGGGAGGAAGGUGUUGUCGUUAAUAACCACAGCAAUUGACGUUACCCGCAGAAGAAGCACCGGCUAACUCCGUGCCAGCAGCCGCGGUAAUACGGAGGGUGCAAGCGUUAAUCGGAAUUACUGGGCGUAAAGCGCACGCAGGCGGUCUGUCAAGUCGGAUGUGAAAUCCCCGGGCUCAACCUGGGAACUGCAUUCGAAACUGGCAGGCUUGAGUCUUGUAGAGGGGGGUAGAAUUCCAGGUGUAGCGGUGAAAUGCGUAGAGAUCUGGAGGAAUACCGGUGGCGAAGGCGGCCCCCUGGACAAAGACUGACGCUCAGGUGCGAAAGCGUGGGGAGCAAACAGGAUUAGAUACCCUGGUAGUCCACGCCGUAAACGAUGUCUACUUGGAGGUUGUGCCCUUGAGGCGUGGCUUCCGGAGCUAACGCGUUAAGUAGACCGCCUGGGGAGUACGGCCGCAAGGUUAAAACUCAAAUGAAUUGACGGGGGCCCGCACAAGCGGUGGAGCAUGUGGUUUAAUUCGAUGCAACGCGAAGAACCUUACCUGGUCUUGACAUCCACGGAAGUUUUCAGAGAUGAGAAUGUGCCUUCGGGAACCGUGAGACAGGUGCUGCAUGGCUGUCGUCAGCUCGUGUUGUGAAAUGUUGGGUUAAGUCCCGCAACGAGCGCAACCCUUAUCCUUUGUUGCCAGCGGUCCGGCCGGGAACUCAAAGGAGACUGCCAGUGAUAAACUGGAGGAAGGUGGGGAUGACGUCAAGUCAUCAUGGCCCUUACGACCAGGGCUACACACGUGCUACAAUGGCGCAUACAAAGAGAAGCGACCUCGCGAGAGCAAGCGGACCUCAUAAAGUGCGUCGUAGUCCGGAUUGGAGUCUGCAACUCGACUCCAUGAAGUCGGAAUCGCUAGUAAUCGUGGAUCAGAAUGCCACGGUGAAUACGUUCCCGGGCCUUGUACACACCGCCCGUCACACCAUGGGAGUGGGUUGCAAAAGAAGUAGGUAGCUUAACCUUCGGGAGGGCGCUUACCACUUUGUGAUUCAUGACUGGGGUGAAGUCGUAACAAGGUAACCGUAGGGGAACCUGCGGUUGGAUCACCUCCUUACCUUAAAGAAGC